rnacentral:rRNA from 1 species
GUUUACGGACAUGCCUCCCCUGAAUGCACCGGAUCCUGUAUGAUCUCAGAAGCUAAGCAGGGUUGGGCCUGGUUAGUAUUUGGAUGGAAGACCACCUAGGAAGACCAGGUGCUAUAGGCA